UAGCUUGCAGAACAAGCUGACUAUAUGGUACACAUAUAGAAAACUUGCCUUACAAGUUAAGAUACAUAUCUUGUAAAGUCAAUACAGUUUUGUGGUCCCAUAGGGUAUUGCCACAUAGCUCCUAAUUAAAAGUAUACAUGGAUACAAGAGUGAAGCCUUCUUCACUCUUGUCAAUGCCUUUCUAAUCAAAUGUGAAUAUAAAAUUCACUCCUCAAUCCAAAUUAUAAAAUAGCCUUAACUAAAAAUUACUUAUAAUUGGUGGAGUGAAGAGAAAGUAGAAAG
rnacentral:lncRNA from 1 species